AGAGUUUGAUCCUGGCUCAGAUUGAACGCUGGCGGCAGGCCUAACACAUGCAAGUCGAGCGGAUGAGUGGAGCUUGCUCCAUGAUUCAGCGGCGGACGGGUGAGUAAUGCCUAAGAAUCUGCCUAUUAGUGGGGGACAACGUUUCGAAAGGAACGCUAAUACCGCAUACGUCUACGGGAGAAAGCAGGGGACUUCGGGCCUUGCGCUAAUAAAUGAGCUAGGUCGGAUUAGCUAUUGGUGAGGUAUGCUCACCAAGGCGACAACCGUAACUGGUCUGAAAGAUAUCAGUCACCUGAACUGAAAACGGUCCAACUCCUACGGGAAGCAGCAGUGGGAAUAUGGACAUGGGCAAACCUGAUCCAGCCAUGCCGCGUGUGUGAAGAAGGUCUUCGGAUUGUAAAGCACUUUAAGUUGGGAGGAAGGGCAUUAACCUAAUACGUUAGUGUUUUGACGUUACCGACAGAAUAAGCACCGGCUAACUUCGUGCCAGCAGCCGCGGUAAUACGAAGGGUGCAAGCGUUAAUCGGAAUUACUGGGCGUAAAGCGCGCGUAGGUGGUUUGUUAAAUUGGAUGUGAAAGCCCCGGGCUCAACCUGGGAACUGCAUCCAAAACUGGCAAGCUAAAUUAUGGUAAAAGGUGGUGGAAUUUCCUGUGUACCGGUGAAAUUGCUUAAAUUUAGGAAGGACACCAGUUGGCGAAGGCGACCACCUGGGCUAUUACUGACCCUGAAGGUGC
rnacentral:rRNA from 1 species